UAUAUAUUAAUGUAAUUAGAGCAUAAAAAUUUUUGAUAUUUUUAGAAAUAAUUUUUAUUAUAUAUGA
rnacentral:tRNA from 1 species